CGGCCUACCAAGUCAGCGAUCGGUAGCCGGACUGAGAGGUUGAUCGGCCACAUUGGGACUGAGAUACGGCCCAGACUCCUACGGGGGGCAGCAGUGGGGAAUAUUGCACAAUGGGGGAAACCCUGAUGCAGCAACGCCGCGUGAAGGAUGAAGGUUUUCGGAUUGUAAACUUCUUUGACCGGGGACGAAACAAAUGACGGUACCCGGAAAACAAGCCACGGCUAACUACGUGCCAGCAGCCGCGGUAAUACGUAGGUGGCGAGCGUUGUCCGGAAUUACUGGGUGUAAAGGGCGUGUAGGCGGGCCUGCAAGUCAGAUGUGAAAUUCCGGGGCUUAACCCCGGCGCUGCAUUUGAAACUGCGGGUCUUGAGUAUCGGAGAGGGAAGUGGAAUUCCUAGUGUAGCGGUGAAAUGCGUAGAUAUUAGGAGGAACACCAGUGGCGAAGGCGACUUUCUGGACGAUAACUGACGCUGAGGCGCGAAAGCGUGGGGAGCAAACAGGAUUAGAUA
rnacentral:rRNA from 1 species